rnacentral:lncRNA from 1 species
UGUGUGUGUGUGUGUGUGUGUGUGCAUGAUUACAAGUGGCCGUGGAGGCCAGAGGAUUUGGAUCUCCCAGGAGCUGGGUUUUAAAAGGCUUUAGUGAGCCAUCCUGUGUGCGUUAUGGGAACUGAACUUCAAGAAGCACUCUUGGCCCUGGGCCACCACUCCAGUUCUACUCUAACAUUCUUAAGACUACAGCUGUUUCCAAAAAGUUUUCACAGCAACUGUGACAUAACUAGUUUUGUAUUCAGUGAUGAGCACUCUCGCACUCUCUUUUUGUAGCAGGUCAGAGCAUAUGUAUUUUUGCACUGUUAGCUAUAAGAGCUUUAUAAUUAUCAUUUGUUGCACUGCCUUAUAGUGUAGGAAAUGCUGUUGAAGAUACUUAAAUGGAUGUUAAUAACUGGGUCUCAGGGGGCUGAUCAGCUGGCCUGAAUUUAUCAAACAAUGAUACCAACAAUCCUUAUUUAUAUGGUUGGCAAGUUGGGCCACUCAUGCUAUUUCUCUGGCCUAUAGCCCCAUCCCUAAUCACAUGCUAAAUACUCUUGUCAUGUGUUCUUAAUAUGUAAUUUGUGACAUUUUCUCAAAAGUUCAAAAUUAUGUCCUCCUGCUAUUUAGUAGGCUGUCAGUUCGGGCACUUCUGACAUUGCUUCAUGGGUGCCUUUAAACUGCAUUUUCAUUAAGCACAGAGCGGGGGGUACAAAGCAUCAUGACCUGCUUUGUGUAUUAGGAAUUGCAUUAUGACUCCCGUUACAUAUGUAGCAGAGAACUGCCUCAUCUGGCAUCAGUGGGACGGGGAGGUGCUUGGUCUUGUGGAGGCUCAAUGCCCCAGGGUAGGGGGAUGCUAGAGUGGUAAGGAGGGAGUAGGUAGGUGGGUGAGGGAGCACCCUCUUAGUGGCAAAGGGAAUGGGGAUGGGGUGGGAGUUCACAGAGGAGAGACUGGGAAGGGGGAUAACAUUUGAAAUAUAAACAAAUAAAGUGAUUAAUAAUGAAAAAGUAAGUGCAUUAUGGAUGUGCCUAUGUGUGUAUGUCAUCUGACUUGCUUUUGUACUGUAAGUUUAUUCUUCCAUGUGUAACUGAACCAUUACCUUCCCUUUGUAACUAUCCUAUGGUGAGGUUUUCUGAGCAGACACACACAGGAUUCUUUCAUAUGUUCUCAGGAUGCUUUCGCAUCCUUCCAUGAUUCUUCCCUGAACCUCACUACUGUGGCUGGUGCCAAAUGAUCACGUCUUAGCUUCUCUCUUUCUUCACAGUUAUGAUCAGGAAAUUCCUGCUCCCGUUCCUUGUUUAUUUCAAUGAAUCUGAACUCAUAGAUCCUGAUUUUAUACUUUGAGUUAAAUUCUGCUGUCAGUAUAUUUCUCACUUCUCAAUAUCAUCUCAUCGUUGGCUCUCGCUGUGUUUCCUUGAAUGUUUUCGUCAUGUUUAUAAUCUCUUCCCACAACUGAUACCAGCACCAGAUAUGCCUGGCUUAUCUUUUGCUUUCUGUUCCCUGGCCUUGAAAUUAGGGCAUUUUACCAUGGAGUCUUCACCCCUUUAAUUGUAGAGUAAAGAGUAUGUAGAAUCCAGGAGCAAAGACACUAAAUUUGUUGUUAUUACUGGUCUGCUGUUGUUUCAGAACCUGCUAAUAAACAAGCCUAGGAAAUAUCUGUACAAAUUUAUGCAGAAACCCAUGCACACACUGCCUGGUUCUACUUUCUAUUCCUGCAAACCCACAGAAUCCAUAACUUCAUAACAACACCUCUCUUUUCUGUUAUAUCUCAUGGGAAUCUCUCUCGUUUCUGCUGUGUUUCCAUAGGGAAAUUGGCUUCUAUUAUACAUAUAUUUUCUCCGUCGAUCAAGGGGCUAAAAAGAUGGAACUGAAAUUUAUGAAAGCUGCCUUAUUGUUUGAAGGUAGUUGUUUGUGUAUUUAGCCUUCAACCAUAUAUCGUCAAUAUAUUAUUACUAAGGCUAUCUAAAUCAGGUUUUUAUCACGUGAUAAAACACCUGAGCUUUGCAUCCUAAGGAGGAAAGAUUGGUUUUCUUUCUAGUCAGUAGUUUUCAGCCCAUGAUGGCUUUUGUCCAGUGGCCUUAUGCCCUAUGGCAGGACAUUUUCCCCAGCAGGUGCACAUCGAGAAGAGGCCUGCAUAGUCCAACAGUGGCCAGAGGUGACAUGGAAGGGUCUGGUACUCUAUUGUCACUUUUGUGAGCAUGGCUCCACUAGCAAAUACUAACCCCGCUGCCCAAAAUGUAGUGCCUUACAGUAGGGUCACAAGCUUACAGCCAAGCUUUAGUCAAGGGCAUUUAAAGGGAAGGUAAUUUCCAAUCUUGAUAGGUUAUGAGGUUGCCUCCGCAUUUGGUGUUGUCAGGAUCUUGAUUUAAAAUACAAUGGUUUCAUUUUUCAGUGGUUGAAGAGCAUCCUCCCAACCUUACUUUAAUUAAAUAUGACCCAAGACUCUAAACACUACUAUAGGCCUAAACUCAGAAAUGUAUGAAGAAGCUAUAUUCAGAGAAAUGUUCCUCCCUGGAUCUUUCCUACUGAAACCGCGUUUUUUCUUUUCUUUUCUUUUCUUUUCUUUUCUUUUCUUUUUUUUUUUUUUUCUUCCAUGGUUUAAAGCAGACUUAGUAUGUUCUUGGAAAGGCUUGCUAUGUUUCAUUUUAUGUAAGUGAGCUGAUAAAUGAUGUUUCUAAUUCCUUAUGUAGAACUCAAGCCUCCUACAUGUGAAACCCAUGGUAUUCUGUUAAGCUCUGUCCUGGCCCUUAGUGUAUUUUUAUGUAUUAUUCUCUCUCUACCAGUAGAAAAUGAAUGUGCCUAAGUGGUUUUUUUGUACUGCAGCAUUGGUGGAAAUAGUAACAUAUGG